GCCGGUUUGGCUCAGUGGGUAGAGCGUCGGCCUGCGGACCGAAGGAUCCCAGGUUCGAGUCCGGUUAAGGGCA
rnacentral:tRNA from 1 species